rnacentral:piRNA from 1 species
UGUUCUUGUGAAUGGAGU